GAAUGAAAGGAUGAUUGAAUAUGUUUCCCUAUUGGUUUGAUUGCCGCGAUGAUGGCCAUUUCUAGUAACUCUAUCUGAUCAUUC